rnacentral:pre_miRNA from 1 species
ACUGCUGAGCCACCUUCCCAGUCCAAAAGAUAGGUUCUUUAAAAAAAAAAAAAAGAAGGCUGGGAAGGUGGCUCAGUGGU